GACGAACGCUGGCGGCGUGCCUAACACAUGCAAGUCGAGCGAACCCUUCGGGGUGAGCGGCGGACGGGUGAGUAACGCGUGGGUAACCUGCCCUAUACACACGGAUAACGUACCGAAAGGUACGCUAAUACGGGAUAAAGUUGUUGGAUGGCAUCUUCUAACAAUCAAAGCUCCGGCGGUAUAGGAUGGACCCGCGUCUGAUUAGCUAGUUGGUGAGGUAAUGGCUUACCAAGGCGACGAUCAGUAGCCGACCUGAGAGGGUGAUCGGCCAUGCUGUAACUGAGACACGGUCCAGACUCCUACGGGGGGCAGCAGUGGUGAAUAUUGCACAAUGGGCGAAAGCCUGAUGCAGCAACACCUCGUGAGCGAUGAAGGUCUUCGGAUCGUAAAGCUCUGUACUCAAGGAAGAUAAUGACGGUACUUGAGGAGGAAGCCCCGGCUAACUACGUGCCAGCCGCCGCAGUAA
rnacentral:rRNA from 1 species